CGGGGGAAGACAACAGGGAUUGCCUUAGUAACGGCGAGUGAAGCGGCAACAGCUCAAAUUUGAAAUCUGGCUCCCUUGGGGGCCCGAGUUGUAAUUUGUAAAGGAUGCUUCGGCGUGGGCCCCGGUCUAAGUUCCUUGGAACAGGACGUCACAGAGGGUGAGAAUCCCGUACGUGGCCGUGGGUGCUCGCCAUGUGAAGCUCCUUCGACGAGUCGAGUUGUUUGGGAAUGCAGCUCUAAAUGGGAGGUAAAUUUCUUCUAAAGCUAAAUACUGGCCAGAGACCGAUAGCGCACAAGUAGAGUGAUCGAAAGAUGAAAAGCACUUUGGAAAGAGAGUCAAAAAGUACGUGAAAUUGUUGAAAGGGAAGCGCUUGCAACCAGACCUGCCUGCGGUUGCUCAUCCGGGCUCUUGCCCGGGGCACUCUUCCGCAGUCAGGCCAGCAUCAGCUCUGGCGGUCGGAUAAAGGCGGCGGGAAUGUGGCUCCCCUCGGGGAGUGUUAUAGCCCGCCGUGCAAUGCGGCCAGCCGGGACUGAGGUCCGCGCUUCGGCUAGGAUGCUGGCGUAAUGGUUGUAAGCGGCCCGUCUUGAAACACGGACCAAGGAGUCUAACAUCUGUGCGAGUGUUUGGGUGUCAAGCCCAGGCGCGUAAUGAAAGUGAACGGAGGCGGGAACCUUCGGGUGCACCGUCGACCGAUCCUGAUGUCUUCGGAUGGAUUUGAGUAAGAGCAUAGCUGUUGGGACCCGAAAGAUGGUGAACUAUGCCUGAAUAGGGUGAAGCCAGAGGAAACUCUGGUGGAGGCUCGCAGCGGUUCUGACGUGCAAAUCGAUCGUCAAAUUUGGGCAUAGGGGCGAAAGACUAAUCGAACUAUCUAGUAGCUGGUUCCUGCAGAAGAUUCCCCUCAAGAUAAAAAAAAAA
rnacentral:rRNA from 1 species